CAGAGAAUAGUUUAUAAAAAAUAUUAAUUUUGGAGAUUAAAGAAGAAUUUUAUUUUUCUCUGA
rnacentral:tRNA from 1 species